rnacentral:rRNA from 1 species
GACGAACGCUGGCGGCGUGCUUAACACAUGCAAGUCGAACGGAAAGGCCCUGCUUUUGUGGGGUGCUCGAGUGGCGAACGGGUGAGUAACACGUGAGUAACCUGCCCUUGACUUUGGGAUAACUUCAGGAAACUGGGGCUAAUACCGGAUAGGAGCUCCUGCUGCAUGGUGGGGGUUGGAAAGUUUCGGCGGUUGGGGAUGGACUCGCGGCUUAUCAGCUUGUUGGUGGGGUAGUGGCUUACCAAGGCAUUGACGGGUAGCCGGCCUGAGAGGGUGACCGGACCCAUUGGGACUGAGAUACGGCCCAGACUCCUACGGGAGGCAGAAGUGGGGAAUAGUGCACAAUGGGCGGAAGCCUGAUGCAGCAACGCCGCGUGCGGGAUGACGGCCUUCGGGUUGUAAACCGCUUUCGCCUGUGACGAAGCGUGAGUGACGGUAAUGGGUAAAGAAGCACCGGCUAACUACGUG